GACGAACGCUGGCGGCGCGCCUAACACAUGCAAGUCGAACGAGCGAGAGAGAGCUUGCUUUCUCGAGCGAGUGGCGAACGGGUGAGUAACGCGUGAGGAACCUGCCUCAAAGAGGGGGACAACAGUUGGAAACGACUGCUAAUACCGCAUAAGCCCACAGGUCGGCAUCGACCAGAGGGAAAAGGAGCAAUCCGCUUUGAGAUGGCCUCGCGUCCGAUUAGCUAGUUGGUGAGGUAAUGGCCCACCAAGGCGACGAUCGGUAGCCGGACUGAGAGGUUGAACGGCCACAUUGGGACUGAGACACGGCCCAGACUCCUACGGGAGGCAGCAGUGGGGAAUAUUGCACAAUGGGGGAAACCCUGAUGCAGCGACGCCGCGUGGAGGAAGAAGGUCUUCGGAUUGUAAACUCCUGUUGUUGAGGAAGAUAAUGACGGUAC
rnacentral:rRNA from 1 species